CCACUGUCCACUGUGCUCACAUAAACACAUCAUUAUAAUUAAUGCAAAAAACCAGUCUCUGAAAAACCGUUAGAAAAUUUCAAAGAAGGGAUGCUGCACGACUGAUGAAGCUUUUAGUCGAGUUUUAGUGCUUUAGUGAACAACUUUAGUGAUUGUGAGCGGGGUAAAAAACGAAUCCUAGCCCGCUUCUCGUUGACGUGAGACAAAUCACCGCCGGUUAACCGGAAUAAGUAAGUUUGUAACUCCCGGAGCAAAGAGAUUUUAUCUCAAACUCAUCCAAGUAAGUUGCAAGGUUUCCUUUAAACUGGUGAACAUAAGUCGCCAAAACUUGAGCUUAGAACUUGAGGUCGGGCCCGAUAACUUGUUCAGUUUCAGGCGUUUUAGGGAUGAAGCCGAUCAUGCGGUAAUGCUAUGUUAUCAUAAUAAAUUUGUAACUUUGUUGCUGUACUUGAACAACUUAUUAAA